rnacentral:rRNA from 1 species
UACCAGCACCCCGAGUGGUCGGGACGAUUAUUGAGCCUAAAGCAUCCGUAGCCGGUUCUACAAGUCUUCCGUUAAAUCCACCUGCUUAACAGAUGGGCUGCGGAGGAUACUAUGGAGCUAGGAGGCGGGAGAGGCAAGCGGUACUUAGUGGGUAGGGGUAAAAUCCGUUGAUCCAUUGAAGACCACCAGUGGCGAAGGCGGCUUGCCAGAACGCACUCGACGGUGAGGGAUGAAAGCUGGGGGAGCAAACCGG